GACGAACGCUUUCUUCUUUCUUAACACAUGCAAGUCGAACGGAAAGGCCCUGCUUUUGUGGGGUGCUCGAGUGGCGAACGGGUGAGUAACACGUGAGUAACCUGCCCUUUACUUUGGGAUAACUUCAGGAAACUGGGGCUAAUACCGGAUAGGAGCUCCUGCUGCAUGGUGGGGGUUGGAAAGUUUCGGCGGUUGGGGAUGGACUCGCGGCUUAUCAGCUUGUUGGUGGGGUAGUGGCUUACCAAGGCUUUGACGGGUAGCCGGCCUGAGAGGGUGACCGGCCACAUUGGGACUGAGAUACGGCCCAGACUCCUACGGGAGGCAGCAGUGGGGAAUAUUGCACAAUGGGCGGAAGCCUGAUGCAGCAACGCCGCGUGCGGGAUGACGGCCUUCGGGUUGUAAACCGCUUUCGCCUGUGACGAAGCGUGAGUGACGGUAAUGGGUAAAGAAGCACCGGCUAACUACGUG
rnacentral:rRNA from 1 species